GAUGAACGCUGGCGGCGUGCCUAAUACAUGCAAGUCGAGCGAACAGAUGAGGAGCUUGCUCCUCUGACGUUAGCGGCGGACGGGUGAGUAACACGUGGAUAAUCUACCUAUAAGACUGGGAUAACUUCGGGAAACCGGAGCUAAUACCGGAUAAUAUAUUGAACCGCAUGGUUCAAUAGUGAAAGACGGUUUUGCUGUCACUUAUAGAUGGAUCCGCGCCGCAUUAGCUAGUUGGUAAGGUAACGGCUUACCAAGGCAACGAUGCGUAGCCGACCUGAGAGGGUGAUCGGCCACACUGGAACUGAGACACGGUCCAGACUCCUACGGGAGGCAGCAGUAGGGAAUCUUCCGCAAUGGGCGAAAGCCUGACGGAGCAACGCCGCGUGAGUGAUGAAGGUCUUCGGAUCGUAAAACUCUGUUAUUAGGGAAGAACAAAUGUGUAAGUAACUAUGCACGUCUUGACGGUACCUAAUCAGAAAGCCACGGCUAACUACGUG
rnacentral:rRNA from 1 species